rnacentral:rRNA from 1 species
ACGAACGCUGGCGGCGUGCUUAACACAUGCAAGUCGAACGGAAAGGCCCUGCUUUUGUGGGGUGCUCGAAUGGCGAACGGGUGAGUAACACGUGAGUAACCUGCCCUUGACUUUGGGAUAACUUCAGGAAACUGGGGCUAAUACCGGAUAGGAGCUCCUGCUGCGUGGUGGGGGUUGGAAAGUUUCGGCGGUUGGGGAUGGACUCGCGGCUUAUCAGCUUGUUGGUGGGGUAGUGGCUUACCAAGGCUUUGACGGGUAGCCGGCCUGAGAGGGUGACCGGCCACAUUGGGACUGAGAUACGGCCCAGACUCCUACGGGAGGCAGCAGUGGGGAAUAUUGCACAAUGGGCGGAAGCCUGAUGCAGCAACGCCGCGUGCGGGAUGACGGCCUUCGGGUUGUAAACCGCUUUCGCCUGUGACGAAGCGUGAGUGACGGUAAUGGGUAAAGAAGCACCGGCUAACUACGUG